GCAGUCAGAGAAGCUGAAGGAGGAUUGGGGGGAAGGUGGAGCAGCAGGAGGCCUGGCUGUUCCUCACACCAAGGAGGUGCAUCCGCAGAUGAGGAGUGAAUGCCAAGGGCAUGUGAAUGCCUUGAAGUGGCUAUUUCUUGGAAGCAGAUAUUAUAAGGGAGUCACAUCUGGGAAGAGACAGUAGAUAAUGGAGCCAGAGAGCUGACUCACCACGUGGGAUGGCUGUGGGCAAGUUUCCCAGGUUGCACAAGCCACCGGGUUUUCUGAAACAGAUGGAAAGACCGCCUCUGCAGGCCGCUGGCUGACUUCAAGAUAGUCGUGCUGUAUCAAGUGGUGUGAGAAGGAAAGACCCAUAAGAGACUUUGUCAUCCAAGUUUCAGAUUCCCCUGGAUUCCUUAGCGAUAAGACAUGCAUGGCUCAUUACAUAUUCUAUUUAUGAAAUUUCUACGGGCAAAGACUCGAAUGCCCUUUAACUGGGUGCGCACAUGGGCAUCGCAUAGUUUUCCA
rnacentral:lncRNA from 1 species